rnacentral:rRNA from 1 species
UAUGAAGGGGGCUAGCGUUGCUCGGAAUCACUGGGCGUAAAGGGUGCGUAGGCGGGGCUUUAAGUCAGGGGUGAAAUCCUGGAGCUCAACUCCAGAACUGCCUUUGAUACUGAGGAUCUUGAGUUCGGGAGAGGUGAGUGGAACUGCGAGUGUAGAGGUGAAAUUCGUAGAUAUUCGCAAGAACACCAGUGGCGAAGGCGGCUCACUGGCCCGAUACUGACGCUGAGGCACGAAAGCGUGGGGAGCAAACAGG